rnacentral:tRNA from 1 species
AGUUGAAGGUGGAAUUUGUAGUUUCUUCCCUGA